CCAGACUCCUACGGGAGGCAGCAGCGGGGAAUAUUGGGCAAUGGGCGCAAGCCUGACCCAGCAACGCCGCGUGAAGGAAGAAGGCUUUCGGGUUGUAAACUUCUUUUCUGAGGGACGAAGCAAGUGACGGUACCUUAGGAAUAAGCCACGGCUAACUACGUGCCAGCAGCCGCGGUAAUACGUAGGUGGCGAGCGUUAUCCGGAUUUACUGGGUGUAAAGGGCGUGUAGGCGGGAGAGCAAGUCAGAUGUGAAAACUACAGGCUUAACCUGUAGCCUGCAUUUGAAACUGUUUUUCUUGAGUGAUGGAGAGGCAGGCGGAAUUCCUAGUGUAGCGGUGAAAUGCGUAGAUAUUAGGAGGAACACCAGUGGCGAAGGCGGCUUACUGGACUGUAACUGACGUUGAGGCUCGAAAGCGUGGGGAGCAAACAGGAUUAGAUACCCCGGUACG
rnacentral:rRNA from 1 species